CUUGCUCCCUGGGUGACGAGCGGCGGACGGGUGAGUAAUGUCUGGGAAACUGCCUGAUGGAGGGGGAUAACUACUGGAAACGGUAGCUAAUACCGCAUAACGUCGCAAGACCAAAGAGGGGGACCUUCGGGCCUCUUGCCAUCAGAUGUGCCCAGAUGGGAUUAGCUAGUAGGUGGGGUAAUGGCUCACCUAGGCGACGAUCCCUAGCUGGUCUGAGAGGAUGACCAGCCACACUGGAACUGAGACACGGUCCAGACUCCUACGGGAGGCAGCAGUGGGGAAUAUUGCACAAUGGGCGCAAGCCUGAUGCAGCCAUGCCGCGUGUGUGAAGAAGGCCUUCGGGUUGUAAAGCACUUUCAGCGAGGAGGAAGGUGGUGAGCUUAAUACGUUCAUCAAUUGACGUUACUCGCAGAAGAAGCACCGGCUAACUCCGUGCCAGCAGCCGCGGUAAUACGGAGGGUGCAAGCGUUAAUCGGAAUUACUGGGCGUAAAGCGCACGCAGGCGGUUUGUUAAGUCAGAUGUGAAAUCCCCGGGCUCAACCUGGGAACUGCAUUUGAAACUGGCAAGCUAGAGUCUCGUAGAGGGGGGUAGAAUUCCAGGUGUAGCGGUGAAAUGCGUAGAGAUCUGGAGGAAUACCGGUGGCGAAGGCGGCCCCCUGGACGAAGACUGACGCUCAGGUGCGAAAGCGUGGGAAGCAACCGGGAUUAAAUACCCUGGUAGUCCACGCUGUAAACGAUGUCGAUUUGGAGGUUGUGCCCUUGAGGCGUGGCUUCCGGAGCUAACGCGUUAAAUCGACCGCCUGGGGAGUACGGCCGCAAGGUUAAAACUCAAAUGAAUUGACGGGGGCCCGCACAAGCGGUGGAGCAUGUGGUUUAAUUCGAUGCAACGCGAAGAACCUUACCUACUCUUGACAUCCAGAGAACUUUCCAGAGAUGGAUUGGUGCCUUCGGGAACUCUGAGACAGGUGCUGCAUGGCUGUCGUCAGCUCGUGUUGUGAAAUGUUGGGUUAAGUCCCGCAACGAGCGCAACCCUUAUCCUUUGUUGCCAGCGGUUCGGCCGGGAACUCAAAGGAGACUGCCAGUGAUAAACUGGAGGAAGGUGGGGAUGACGUCAAGUCAUCAUGGCCCUUACGAGUAGGGCUACACACGUGCUACAAUGGCGUAUACAAAGAGAAGCGACCUCGCGAGAGCAAGCGGACCUCAUAAAGUACGUCGUAGUCCGGAUUGGAGUCUGCAACUCGACUCCAUGAAGUCGGAAUCGCUAGUAAUCGUAGAUCAG
rnacentral:rRNA from 1 species